rnacentral:rRNA from 1 species
AUACGGAGGGUGCAAGCGUUAAUCGGAAUUACUGGGCGUAAAGGGCGCGUAGGCGGUCUAUCAAGUCAGUUGUGAAAUCCCACGGCUCAACCGUGGAGGUGCAUCUGAAACUGAUAGACUUGAGUAUGGGAGAGGAAAGUGGAAUUCCCGGUGUAGAGGUGAAAUUCGUAGAUAUCGGGAGGAACACCAGUGGCGAAGGCGACUUUCUGGACCAAUACUGACGCUGAGGCGCGAAAGCGUGGGGAGCAAACAGGAUUAGAUACCCCUGUAGUCC